GGGGAUUUAGCUCAGUUGGUAGAGCGUUCGCUUAGCAUCUGAUGGAUCUUAUUGCGAAAGGUCGCGUGUUCGACUCAUGCAGUCUCCA